GAAGAUGAUGGUCUUCCUCCUCUUGAGAAGAAUAUGAACCGAGUAAGCUUUGAAUGACAUUGUGAUUCUGAAGAUGAUGGUCUUCCACCUCUUGAGAAGAAUAUGAACCGAGUAAGCUUGGAAUCAGAUUGUGAUUUUGAAGAUGAUGGCCUUCCUCUUCUUUAGAAAAAUAUGAAUCUAGUAAGCUUGGAAUCAGAUUGUGAUUCUGUAGAUGGCAGCCUUCCUCCUCUUGAGAAGAAUAUAAAUCGACUAAGCUUGGAGAGUGAAGAAAGUGAAGAAGGAUGAUGGUCAAUAAACAUGAGAAUUUUCUAUAGUUAUCCUGUUUUAACAAUGUAGUAAUUUUAAAUAACAAUCACUUGUUAUUUCAUUGCAUGUUACACAAAGGUUGUAUAUCGACCAUUAAAUAGUUACUG
rnacentral:lncRNA from 1 species